UACGAAGGGGGCUAGCGUUGCUCGGAAUCACUGGGCGUAAAGGGUGCGUAGGCGGGUCUUUAAGUCAGGGGUGAAAUCCUGGAGCUCAACUCCAGAACUGCCUUUGAUACUGAAGAUCUUGAGUUCGGGAGAGGUGAGUGGAACUGCGAGUGUAGAGGUGAAAUUCGUAGAUAUUCGCAAGAACACCAGUGGCGAAGGCGGCUCACUGGCCCGAUACUGACGCUGAGGCACGAAAGCUGGGGGAGCGAACGGG
rnacentral:rRNA from 1 species